GAUGAACGCUGACAGAAUGCUUAACACAUGCAAGUCAACUUGAACUUCGGUUUGGGUGGCGGACGGGUGAGUAACGCGUAAAGAACUUGCCUCACAGAUAGGGACAACAUUUGGAAACGAAUGCUAAUACCUGAUAUUAUGAUUAUAUGGCAUCGUAUAAUUAUGAAAGCUAUAUGCGCUGUGAGAGAGCUUUGCGUCCCAUUAGCUAGUUGGAGAGGUAACGGCUCACCAAGGCGAUGAUGGGUAGCCGGCCUGAGAGGGUGAUCGGCCACAAGGGGACUGAGACACGGCCCUUACUCCUACGGGAGGCAGCAGUGGGGAAUAUUGGACAAUGGACCAAGAGUCUGAUCCAGCAAUUCUGUGUGCACGAUGAAGUUUUUCGGAAUGUAAAGUGCUUUCAGCUGGGAAGAAAAAAAUGACGGUACCAACAGAAGAAGUGACGGCUAAAUACGUG
rnacentral:rRNA from 1 species